rnacentral:rRNA from 1 species
GACGAAUGCUGGCUGCGUGCUUAACACAUGCAAGUCGAACGGUGAACAGGGGCUUGCCCCUGGGAUCAGUGGCGAACGGGUGAGUAACACGUGGGCAACCUGCCCCUCACUCUGGGGAUAACUCCGGGAAACCGGGGCUAAUACCGGAUACGACCAGACACGACAUCGGGUCUGGUGGAAAGAACUUCGGUGAGGGAUGGGCCCGCGGCCUAUCAGCUUGUUGGUGAGGUAACGGCUCACCAAGGCGACGACGGGUAGCCGGCCUGAGAGGGCGACCGGCCACACUGGGACUGAGACACGGCCCAGACUCCUACGGGAGGCAGCAGUGGGGAAUAUUGCGCAAUGGGCGAAAGCCUGACGCAGCGACGCAGCGUGAGGGACG